rnacentral:rRNA from 1 species
UGGGGAAUAUUGCACAAUGGGCGCAAGCCUGAUGCAGCCAUGCCGCGUGUAUGAAGAAGGCCUUCGGGUUGUAAAGUACUUUCAGCGGGGAGGAAGGGAGUAAAGUUAAUACCUUUGCUCAUUGACGUUACCCGCAGAAGAAGCACCGGCUAACUCCGUGCCAGCAGCCGCGGUAAUACGGAGGGUGCAAGCGUUAAUCGGACUUACUGGGCGUAAAGCGCACGCAGGCGGUUUGUUAAGUCAGAUGUGAAAUCCCCGGGCUCAACCUGGGAACUGCAUCUGAUACUGGCAAGCUUGAGUCUCGUAGAGGGGGGUAGAAUUCCAGGUGUAGCGGUGAAAUGCGUAGAGAUCUGGAGGAAUACCGGUGGCGAAGGCGGCCCCCUGGACGAAGACUGACGCUCAGGUGCGAAAGCGUGGGGAGCAAACA